rnacentral:siRNA from 1 species
GAACAGUGUGACACUAUAUCUGGU